CACGUAGGAGCCAAGCGUUAUCCGAAUUCACUGGGCGUAAAGCGCGUGCAGGCGGCUCGGUAAGUUGGAUGUGAAAUCUCCUGGCUCAACUGGGAGAGGACGUUCAAUACUGUCGGGCUAGAGGGCAGCAGAGGGAGGUGGAAUUCCCGGUGUAGUGGUGAAAUGCGUAGAUAUCGGGAGGAACACCAGUGGCGAAGGCGGCCUCCUGGGCUGCACCUGACGCUCAGACGCGAAAGCUAGGGGAGCGAACGGG
rnacentral:rRNA from 1 species